CGCAGCCGCGGUAAUUCCAGCUCCAAUAGCGUAUAUUAAAGUUGUUGCAGUUAAAAAGCUCGUAGUUGAAUUUCGGGAUUAGUACGUUGGUCGUGCCUUAGGUACGUACUGGUGUUACUGGUUCCUACCUUCUGACGAACCAUCAUGUCAUUAAUUUGGUGUGGCGGGGAAUCAGGACUGUUACUUUGAAAAAAUUAGAGUGUUUAAAGCAGGCUCGCGCUUGAAUACAUUAGCAUGGAAUAAUGAAAUAGGACGUUGACCCUAUUUUGUUGGUUUCUAGGAUUGACGUAAUGAUUAAUAGGGAUAGUUGGGGGCAUUAGUAUUCAAUUGUCAGAGGUGAAAUUCUUGGAUUUAUUGAAGACUAACUACUGCGAAAGCAUUUGCCAAGGAUGUUUUCAUUAAUCAAGAACGAAAGUUAGGGGAAUCGAAGACGAUCAGAUACCGUCGUAG
rnacentral:rRNA from 1 species